rnacentral:sRNA from 1 species
CAGACACAGCACUUGGCGUUUGGUUUGUUAGACCGAAAGAAGGAGGGAUGGAAAGUAGAAAUUAAAUGCAGAAAAUGUUUUGCUUUCCACCAUCCAACAUGAAGUUUGCCGCUGCUUCUUCUUCCGUGUGCUUCUUCCUCUUCAGUUUCACACAGCUACAAAUUUCGCAUGUAUUGCGUGCGUGUGGUCAGCGUUGCCACACCGCCUCAGAAAAUCGAACCAGAUUGACAGCCCCAUAUAAUGUGUGGCGUGCAACUCUACACCUGGCAAAUUAAUAAAUUAUUUGAUAUGUCAUACACAGCAUGUUCAAGAGAAUCAAUACGGCGUAAACCUGCGGCACCGCCGACAACUGCAACGGCGGAUAACCCUGUGGGAGAGAGCGAGAUAACAGGAGAAUAUUGCUGCUUUGUCGCAUAAUAUAUUCAAUAAAACGUCUGCACACAUUUGUUUUUCCCACACA